CCUCUACUGAUUUCAUUUCUUAGCAUAAAUAUAAAGUGAAUACUUUACCUUGGGAGUAUCGAUCACAGGAUGCAAGGAUUUCAGACAAGUAUCUGGAGCUGCAGGUAAAAGUUAGUUCCUAGUUUCUCUCUCUCUAAAUUUCUCUCUUGAGUCAAAGUCUGCUUCCAUUGCAGGAUCAGUGACCAAGAUUGGACAUGCUUCCAUGAAUCAAAACUUAAUGGUGGUUGCCACCAAGUUCUGUUCACUUCUUUUUGACCUAUAUCCAAGAGUUCUUUGCGAAAGCGAGCCUUGAAGAUUGCCGCCUCCAUGUCCCGUUUCGAACUCUUUUAUUUGAGUCUUUAUGAAUCAAGCCUUAAUGGUUUUAGCCACCAAGUCCUGUUCAGACUCAUCCUAAUUAAACAAUAGAUCUUACUUUUUUUUUUUUUUUUUUUAGAUAAAUUUUUUUUUUUUAUAUAUAUAUAUUUUUUAAAUACUCUAUAACUAAUCUAGGGUCGAAAUCUAGAGAGAGAAAAUGUGAUAAAUAAUUUAAACCAGGCGUUACCUUCCAGACCUAUCUGAAGAAUCCAAUCCCAAGUAUACCAAGCCCCAAGACAAGCGGUUAUGUCAGGUUUAGUGUUGGAAAUCAGCUUUGGUUACUUCAUACGGUUCAAGGCAAGUGUGUAGUUGAUAGGUUGAUCUGCUUUAGCAUCUUUAGUGCUAUCUGCAAUCAGUAAAUCUAAAAUGGUGCUAAAGAUUAGUUAGAUAUCAUUAUAAGAUUAUAGUCCCUAUUUUCGAUAGCUAAGCAUAAUUUAUUUGAAAUUCCUUUUUACGUAAGAAUAAAAUAAAUUAUAUCAGUAAAUCUCCCCCCAGACUUAAAUUACACUGUCCCAGUGUAACUCAGCCGGAGUUAUGAUGAAAAGUGUAUGAUGUACGAAAUGUAAC
rnacentral:lncRNA from 1 species